rnacentral:lncRNA from 1 species
UAGUCUGUGAAUUUAUGCUAAAAUCCUGUUAUUUGUGUCUUUUAUUUACUUUGUGCAUUUUCCACAGCAUUUUCCUUUGCUGAUCUGUAGCCCAAGGAUGCAAAAAUCCUUCAUCAUCUCAUCACAAACAUCUCUUCUUAUCUGUUGCUGAAGGUGUGACGUCAGGCUGCAGACUACAAGAAUGCUGGUGCAUCAGAUAAUGAGUACAUUAGUCUGGAUUUCAAGGGACCUGUGCUGCAUAGAAGCAAGAUCACAGACCACAAGGCCACAAGAUCAUGUCCAUAACUAGAUAUGUUGUCAAAACUGUAGAUAUUCCCAAACACGAACACUUCCAGUGGCAUGCACAGGUCAUGGACUCCCCAUCUGGACCGCAAUUCCCAAAAUGCAUUCUGGACAGUCUCCUGACUGACCCAUGCUGUGCUUCUACCAGAUCCGACUGUGGUGUGCCACUAUUUGGGAAGGUGGGGCAAUAAAGGGAAAUAAAACACAAGGUACCACUGUGUUUCAGACUUUAGUUGACUUCUUAAAACCACGGACCUCUCUAUAGUUUUGGCCCAGCUCUACAGAUGGACAGACAUCUUUUGUUCCAUUCUCUUACAGUUAUAUUUUUAUCUCAAAGAAUGAAUACA